UAAACCCUAAAAACCAUAAACCCCCCACCGCCUAUAUAUACAAACGCAACGCAUAUAUAUAUAUCAUCAGAGUUGUAAUCUAAACUCUAAAUCCCCUAAAUCCACCUCCUAUAUAUAUAUAACGCAUAUAACCUGCUUCUAGGGUUUCUACGGCGGAGGCCGGUGAACCGACGGUGGCGGCGAUGGUGGCUCUUUGCGAUUGCUCGAUUUGUUUAAUUUCGAUGAUGAUAAAUCUAAGGCUUGUUUCUCAAAACAUUCGCGGUGGCCGACUAAGAUCUUUCGCCUUCGCCAGGCUUGAGAGAUGGUGCUGCUUCAUUCCUUCCUUGGAUGUCUGAGAUAUUAAUUGCAACUUGAUAUUAAUUUUUUUUCAUAAAUAAAGCUUAAUUGAUUGAUUUUGUUCACAAUGCAUCUAUUGUAUUGAUUGGUUAUUUUUGUUUUUAUUUUGUUGGUUUGCUGUUGCGUAUACAAUUUCAAUGAUGACAAAUCUAAGGUUUGUUUCUCAAAACAUUCGUGGUGGCCUACUAAGAUCUUUCGCCUUUGCAAGGCUUGAGAGAUUGCGCAGCUUCAUUCCUUCCUUGAAUGUUUGAGAUAUUCAUUGCUACUUGAUAUUAAUUUGUUUUCAUUAAUAAAGUUUAAUUGAUUGAUUUUGUUCACAAUAUGUAUCUACAUUAUUGAUUGUUUAUUUUUUGUUUUUAUUUUGUUGGUUUGGUGUUGUGUAUAGAAUUUCUAUGAUGACAAAUCUAAGGCUUGUUUCUCAAACCAUUCGCGGUGGCCGACUAAGAUCUUUCGCCUUCGCCAGGCUUGAGAGAUUGUGCUGCUUCAUUCCUUCCUUGGAUGUCUGAGAUAUUCACUACUACCUGAUAUUAGUUUAUUUUCAUAAAUAAAGCUUGAUUGAUUGAUUUUGUUCACAAUAUGCAUCUACAGUAUUGAUUGUUUAUUUUUGUUUUUAUUUUGUUGGAUUGGUGUUUUUCUUAUUUUGUUUGUUUUUAUUUUGUUGGUUUGGUGUUUUGUAUAGAAUUUCGAUGAUGACAAAUCUAAGGCUUGUUUCUCAAAACAUUCGCGGUGGCCAGCUAAGAUCUUUCGCCUUCGCCAGGCUUGAGAGAUUGUGCUGCUUCAUUCCUUUCUUGGAUGUUUGAGAUAUUCAUCGCUACUUGGCUUGUUUCUCAAAACAUUCGCGGUGGCCGACUUAGAUCUUUCGCCUUCGCCAGGCUUGAGAGAUGAAUUUUGAUGAUGAUAAAUCUAAGGCUUGUUUCUCAAAACAUUCGCGGUGGCCGACUAAGAUCUUUCGCCUUCGCAAGGCUUGAGAGAUAAUGCUGCUUCAUUCCUUCCUUGGAUGUCUGAGAUAUUCACUGCUACUUGAUAUUGAUUUAUUUUCAUAAGUAAAGCUUAAUUGAUUGAUUUUGUUCACAAUGCAUUUACGGUAUUGAUUGGUUAUUUUUGUUUUUAUUUUGUUGGUUUGAUGUUGUGUAUACAAUUUCGAUGAUGACAAAUCUAAGGCUUGUUUCUCAAAACAUUCGCGGUGGCCGACUUAGAUCUUUCGCCUUCGCCAGGCUUGAGAGAUGGUGCUGCUUCAUUCCUUCCUUGGAUGUCUGAGAUAUUCAUUGCUACUUGAUACUAAUUUAUUUCAUAAAUAAAGCUUAAUUGAUUGAUUUUGUUCACAAUGCAUCUAUUGUAUUUGAUUGAUUAUUUUUUGUUUUUAUUUUGUUGGUUUGGUGUUGUAUAGAAUUUCGAUGAUGAUAAAUCUAAGGCUUGUUUCUCAAAACAUUUGCGGUGGCCGACUAAGAUCUUUCGCCUUCGCCAGGCUUGAGAGAUAAUGCUGCUUCCUUUCUUCCUUGGAUGUCUGAGAUCUUCAUUUCUACUUUCUAUUAAUUUAUUUUCAUAAGUAAAGCUUAAUUGAUUGAUCUUGUUCACAAUGCAUUUACUCUAUUGAUUUGUUAUUUUUGUUUUUAUUUUGUUGGUUUGGUGUUGUGUAUACAAUUUUGAUGAUGACAAUUCUAUGGCUUCUUCUCAAAACACUCGCGGUGGCCGACUAAUAUCUUUCGCCUUUGCCAGGUUUGAGAGAUAAUGCUGCUUCAUUUCUUCCUUGGAUGUCUGAGAUAUUCAUUGCUCUACUUGAUAUUAGUUUGUUUUCAUAAAGAAAAAUUAAUUGAUUGAUUUUGUUCACAAUGCAUCUACUGUAUUGAUUUGUUAUUUUUGUUUUUAAUUUGUUGGUUUGAUGUUGUAUAUAGAAUUUCAAUGAUGACAAAUCUAUAAGGCUUGUUUCUCAAAACAUUCACAGUGGCCGACUAAGAUCUUUCGCCUUCGCCAGGCUUGAGAGAUAAUGCUGCUUCCUUCCUUCCUUGGAUGUCUCAGAUAUUCAUUUCUACUUUAUAUUAAUUUAUUUUCAUAAAUAAAGCUUAAUUGAUUGAUCUUGUUCACAAUGCAUUUACUCUAUUGAUUGGUUAUUUUUGUUUUUAUUUUGUUGGUUUGGUGUUGUGUAUACAAUUUCGAUGAUGACAAUUCUAAGGCUUGUUUCUCAAAACAUUCGCGGUGGCCGACUAAGAUCUUUCGCCUUCGCCAGGCUUGAGAGAUAGUGCUGCAUCAUUCCUUCCUUGGAUGUCUGAGAUAUUCAUUGCUCUACUUGAUAUUAGUUUGUUUUCAUAAAGAAAAAUUAAUUGAUUGAUUUUGUUCACAAUGCAUGUACUGUAUUGAUUGGUUGUUUUUGUGUUUAAUUUGUUGGUUUGAUGUUGUAUAUAUAAUUUCAAUGAUGACAAAUCUUGGGCUUAUUUCUCAAAACAUUAGCUGUGGCUGACUAUGAUCUUUUGCUUUUGUGGGGCUUGAGAGAUACUGCUGCUGGUGAAAUCCUUCCUUGGAUGUUUGAGAUCCUCAGUUAUAAUUUGAUAUUGCUUUUUCAUAAAUACACGCUUGUAGUUAAUUUUGGAUAUAUUGCGCCCAUAUUUGUUUUGAUUGAAUAUAUAUAUAUAUAUAUAUUUUAAUUUUCUGUUUGGUCUUCUAUAUUCAAUGUCAAUGAUAACAAAUGUAAGGCUUUUUUCUCGUAACAUUCUCGGUGGGUGAUUAAGUUUUUUUGCGUGUCACGCUCAAAAGAUAGUCCUGCUUCAGUUUUUCCUUGGAUGCCUGAGCUCUUCAUGGCAACUUAUUAUUGUGUUUCAUAAAUAGUGGAAUUGAUUGAUUGUGUCUAUACUGCAUCUACUGCAUUGAUUGAUAUACAAGGAACCCAAUGCUGCAUGAAAGGUAUACCCUGAAAUCAAAAUAUACAAGGAGCCCAUAAUGUCCUUCAUUUGUGGAAGUAAUUUUCUUUUGGUUUGGGUUCUUGUUGCUUUGUUUGGUUGAGGCUGGUUAAAACCAAGUUGAUAAUUUUGGGGACUAGGUUGGCUACCACCUGGACCUGCAUGGAAUGCCCCUCAUAUUUCUUGUUAUUACUCUUUCAUUGGUCAACUGCAAGUUAGAUGUCCUCAGUUGUCCCUCAGAGUGGUUGUUUCUUACCUUUGCCUUAAUUCAGCCGUUUUUAUGGUGCUCAAUCCCUACCCCCUUUCUUCUUGUUGGUAUAUCUUUCAUUGGUGAAUCUGUGACCUAUUUUAUAUAUUUUUUUUAAGUAAUGAUGCAUGAUUUUGUUGCAUGCUGUUGUAACUAAUCAUUUGGUUGUAAGUGGCAGCUACUGCAGCUUUAGCUUGUUCAUAUAUGGUAACACAGCAGAAGAUCCGGGACAGCUCAGCAUAGAAGUUGAUUUAGUUCGCGCUUUAACUGAUGAUUUUUUCUGUUGUGGGAAAGCUUGAAGAUCUCCCACCUGCACUACAAUCUGACUAAUCUGACAAUUGAGGAAUUGAUAUCUUCCCCAAAAGCAUCAUCUCUAGAAGUUGUUGCAUCCGAUAUUUCUGUUGUGAUUAAACAGUUGUUAGAGUUGACAUUUGAGACUUUGCAGUCGUUGAACCUUGGUGGUGCAAUCAAUAAAGUUAUUAGUUCUUUUGUGUCAGCAGCCUCGUCUGCAUUGCUGGGAUUGUUGUGCUAUCAAUUGGGAACAAUCUUUGGAGGGAAGGUCUAGAAAUUGUGUUCUUGCUGAGGGUAUAAAGGAUCUGUUGGAUAUCUACUAUGCCUUCAACAUAAAUCAGGAAACCUUUCACCUGAAUCCUUUGCAGACAGUACAUUUCUUGAUUCUGAGGCUGAUGUGGCUACUUCCAAACAGUUGGUAAAUACUUUCAUUUUGAUAGGGGACUUCAUGAAGUCCUGGGCAUCCUCAACUUGUUUUCCUUGAGCUUGUUCCAGCUGCUCUUAAACUUGUUUUCCUUGAGCUUGCUUCUCUUGAUAUUUGUCAGAGGGUUUGUGUGCGCAUUUCUAGAGUCCUAACCUUGUUAAGUGAUGCUCUAUGGUCAUGAAGUUCACGUUAGUAAGACAUACAGCCAAUUGUUUUCAUUGAGCUUAGUCCAGCUGCUCUUAAACUUGGAAAGAAUCAUGUUAUGUAUGUACUUUAGGCCGUGAUUUGUUAUUUUCUCACAUCUCACAUUGGCUCUUAAAACAUUUGUAAUAUUUUUUUGAUUUGCUCA